GGCCCCAGUAUCGUGCUCCAACUCCUAACCAGCGAUAUCGUCCCCCAGCAAAGAAGAAUCAGGCGAAGACGGGUUUCUGCAAGGGCUACUCUACUGCUCUUCCAAGCUAUGCCAAGACUCCACCUACCAACCAUCCGUGCUGGAACUGUAAUCAGACCGGGCACUGGCAAAGCAAUUGUCCUUACCCGCCAAAGAAGGGCAACCAAGGGAACGUUCGCUAGGGGCGUGUUCACUACACAACUGUGGAAGCAAUCCCAGCCGGUGAGGUAGUUACGGUUGGUAAGUUUCUGGUUAACCAAUGUGAUGCACUUGUGCUUUUUGAUUCAGGAGCAUCGCAUUCUUUUGUGAGUUCAGACUUUAUGUCUAAGCAUAAUCUCAAGGCGAUUACACUUGAUAAGGGCAGUUAAUGCAUUAGUGCUGCUGGAAAUGAUAUUUCUACCAAUCAAGUGGUUUUGGGGGC
rnacentral:lncRNA from 1 species